rnacentral:misc_RNA from 1 species
GAUGAAGAACGUAGCGAAAUGCGAUAAGUAGUGUGAAUUGCAGAAUUCAGUGAAUCAUCGAAUCUUUGAACGCACAUUGCGCCCUUUGGUAUUCCUUAGGGCAUGCCUGUUCGAGCGUCAUUUAAACCUUCAAGCUAAGCUUGGUGUUGGGUGACUGUCCGCUUCACUGCGGACUCGCCUCAAAAUUAUUGGCGGCCGGUACAUUGGCUUCGAGCGCAGCAGAAACGCGAACUCGGGCCCGUCGUAUUGGCUCCCAGAAGCUAUCUUCACAAUUUUGACCUCGUAUCAGGUAGGGAUACCCGCUGAACUUAAGCAUAUCAAUAAGCGGAGGA